GACGAACGCUGGCGGCGUGCCUAAUACAUGCAAGUUGAGCGCUGAAGGUUGGUACUUGUACCAACUGGAUGAGCAGCGAACGGGUGAGUAACGCGUGGGGAAUCUGCCUUUGAGCGGGGGACAACAUUUGGAAACGAAUGCUAAUACCGCAUAAAAACUUUAAACACAAGUUUUAAGUUUGAAAGAUGCAAUUGCAUCACUCAAAGAUGAUCUCGCGUUGUAUUAGCUAGUUGGUGAGGUAAAGGCUCACCAAGGCGAUGAUACAUAGCCGACCUGAGAGGGUGAUCGGCCACAUUGGGACUGAGACACGGCCCAAACUCCUACGGGAGGCAGCAGUAGGGAAUCUUCGGCAAUGGACGAAAGUCUGACCGAGCAACGCCGCGUGAGUGAAGAAGGUUUUCGGAUCGUAAAACUCUGUUGGUAGAGAAGAACGUUGGUGAGAGUGGAAAGCUCAUCAAGUGACGGUAACUACCCAGAAAGGGACGGCUAACUACGUGC
rnacentral:rRNA from 1 species